rnacentral:rRNA from 1 species
GAGUUUGAUCAUGGCUCAGGACUAACGCUGGCGGAAUGCCUCAUACAUGCAAGUCGCACGAGACUUCGGUCUAGUGGCGGACGGGUGAGUAACACGUAGAUAACGUACCAUAUGCUGGGGGACAACACCGGGAAACUGGUGCUAAUACCGCAUAAGAUACAGGUUGCAAUAUCUGUAUUUAAAGCUCCGGCGGCAUAUGAUCGGUCUGCGUAGGAUUAGCUUGUUGGUAGGGUAAAGGCCUACCAAGGCGACGAUCCUUAACUGGUCUGAGAGGAUGACCAGUCACAGUGGAACUGAGACACGGUCCACACUCCUACGGGAGGCAGCAGUGGGGAAUAUUGGACAAUGGGCGCAAGCCUGAUCCAGCCAUGCCGCGUGGGUGAUGAAGGCCCUAGGGUUGUAAAGCCCUUUCGGCGGGGAAGAUAAUGACGGUACCCGCAGAAGAAGCCCCGGCUAACUUCGUGCCAGCCGCCGCAGU